rnacentral:lncRNA from 1 species
UUUAUGUUUUAUUGAAAUAAUUCCUAUGUCAUUGUUAGUAAAUUUUUUAUUUGCCUAGAAAAUUGAGAUUAAAAAAUAAGUUUAUUACAUCCAUAUAACUUUCUGUAUUGCUUUUAAAGUCCUCAUGCUGUUAAGUUAUAGGGCUUUCACUCCCAGAUCUAAAAAGGACACCAAGUUCUGCUAAAUCUUAAACAGUGACAGCUGUUAAAUUAUCAUCUUCAGACUUGAGAGAAGAUGGCAAUCAAAUAAAGUACAUUCGUGAUAUACAGCGCCAUAAAUGAAAACUAUUCAACCCCUUUAGGCCCAGGGACUAUCACAGAAGUGGUGGGUGUGUGAGAUUGUAAGGGCCAAUUUUGAGAGAUAACAUUAGUUCAGAGUUUCUCUAUGAAUUAAACAUUAAUAUCAAAGGCACACUGAUGAAAGAUCAGCAUCUGGGCACCUGUGUCAGAUUAACAGGGUUUUCUUGGAGCAUUAACUGACAACUGACUUUUUAAUAAAAAACAAAGGUUAUAAAAAUGUUUAUAGAAAUUAUAUAUUAUGGUCAAGAUGGUUAAAGCUUCAUAGAUUUUUUUAUAAGAUUUGACAGACAGAUUUAAUUGGCCUCAUGCUGUCUUUCUGAUGGCUUAUAAUUUGGGAAAGUAAGUCUCCUCUCUCUAAAAGUUUUUGCUUCUUUUUUUUUUUCCAAAUCUUUCAAUUAUCACUUUGGCUAAAUGAAUGACUUAUUUUACAAUGACCUGUGAUCCUAUUUUGUGAUAUCAAGUGUUUUAAACUUUUGUUUUUUGAAAAACAUUCCAAAAUCAAAUUCUAAAUUCAAUCUUUUGACCUCAUUACUUUUUUGAUAUUAGGUCCCCUGAAGUCCAAAAGAGACAUAUUUGGCUUACUUGGUAUAAUCAAAUCAUACAGGAAGUAUUGCCAGAUAUGAAAUGGUGUAUUUAAGGAGUAUUCUUAAAUAUAGGUUUCUGAUAAAUUUAGAAAUUGUGCCAUUAGGCCAGGAAUGGUGGGUCAUGCCUGUAAUCCCAGCACUUUGGGAGGCCAAGGCGGGUGGAUCACCUGAGGUUAGGAGUUCAAGACCAGCCUGGCCAACAUGGUGAAAUCUUGUCUCUACUAAAUAUACAAAAAAUUAGCCAUGCAUGGUGGUGGGCCCCUGUAAUCCCAGCUACUAAGGAGGCUGAGGCAGGAGAAUCACUUGAACCCAGGAGGUGGAGGUUGCAGUGAGCUGAGAUCAUGCCAUUGCACUCCCAUCUGGGCAACAAGUGAAAUUCUGUCUUAAAAAAAAAAAAGAUAAAAAAAGAAAUUGUGCCAUUGGAAUAGAGUGAAAAACUUCCAGAACUUUUAUGGAGAGCUGAAUGUAUUCAAGAAGUUUACUGAUCCAAUAUCAAGCAGAACAGAACUGAAUAGAUACUGAAAUACUAUUUUAUAACUUGUUUAAAACAUUUGCUGAUUCUUUUUGUUUUGUCAGAGUCAAGAAAACUUUCUCUUCUUUUAAGCUAUUUAUAGCUUUCAAAAAUUGAGUAAAGUAUACUCUAAUAAGCAAGAUUUAAAACAUAAUUUCUUUCUACCUAAUUCCUCAAACAUUUGGAAACUAUUUGUGAGUAUUCUUAACUUAUGGCAAUAUAGUUAUUUGCAUAAGUUCAAUAAGAAUUUAUUUCAUAACCAGACACAAUGGGACACAUGGUUAUUUUAUGGAGAUUUUGACUGGAAUGACAUAGUUUCAGAUGGCCUUGAGAAAAUGAGGCUGACUUAUGGAACUGAUAAAAGCCCCUUGGAAAAGCUGGCCUCAUAUCUUGUCCUUUAUGGGGUUCUAACUUCUGGUAAGUAAGGAAUGUCACUUUCUGACAGGUCCAGGAACCCCAAGUUUUCUUGGGACCUCAAAAAGGGAGGAAUUAACCAAAUUCAUUCAGGUAUCUGUGGGCACAGAUAAAAAAAAAAUUAAGCUGCACUUUUCUUAAAGCCCUGUGAACUGAAGCUAGGCAACUUAAACUUCAAUGGAAAAUAAUAGCAACGUAUUUAUAUACAUAAACCAUUUUCAUACCUGCCUACUGAUACAUGGACUUCAGGGUAAUAUGCCUAUAUCAGUUUUCUAGGAUUGUUCUCCCUUUUUUGUUUCUCAUUUCCUCCUUUUUUCUCUGUUCUCUUUCUCCCUUACUCCCCCUAAUUCUACUUCAUGGGAUGUGGGAUUUCACAACCUACUAAAAAUGAGCUUGCCUAACAACAUGGGACCUAUCCAUCUAGGAAUAAACUGUCAUAGUCAUAAAAGAUCAGGCAAAAGCCAAGACCAGAGAAUCAGUUCUUUUAAAAUGCCUUCUCUGAAAGAUUUUAAAAUGAAAAGGGGGAUAAAUGUGAAAGGAAAAGAAAAACUUGGACCCCAAUUCACUAUGCCAAAAGGAAAAAAUUAAGCUUAAAGCUGUGUCAUGCAAGAUGCUACCUUUCCUUUUGUUCCUAAGCAAAUAGCUACAUAUAAAAGGAUAAAUAUCUCCAAAUAGCUACUCUGUGUUCACCUUAUCUUAGGUAAAGUGCUGAUUUACUGAGCCUGUUCCUUUUCUCUUGCAACAAGGGGAUUACUAUCCCUUCCCUUUUUCCCCUGCAGCCCACUUUCCCCCUUUAAAUAUUUAAGCUUUUAAAUUCAUCUUUGGAGAAAGGCACAGACCACAGACUGUUUCUGUGACUUUGUGUUUUUUUUCUUCUGGGCAUGUCCUUAACCUUGGCAAAAUAAACUUAUAAAUUGAUUGAGACCUGUCUCAGAUACUUUUUGGUUUAUAAAGCAAUGAACAAAAUGUACUACAACAUGUAAGUGGUUUGUUUCUCCUAACCUAGCCAAGCUUAUGCAAUGUCUGUAUGUUCUUUGCCUUCAUGGCUAGAAUUAUGACUUGCAUGAUUUAAUGUGUAUAUUAUUGGACGAAACUUGAAGGUGUCUCAUCAUGGCCCUGUUUGUCAUUAAUUGCUUACCUUUCAGGUCUAUCUGCUCCAAAAGUUAUCCCCAUUCUGCCAUUGGAGUUCUUCCUUGUUUCAGUUAUUCACACAUCAACUUCACAGUUGCUGCAUGUACUAUUACUUAUUUUACAUUUUUAUUUUGGUCAAACUUAAAUUGACAUAUUUCUCUAAGCUUAUUCUUGAACUAAGCAAUAACAACUGCAAAAAUGCAUGUAAGAUUUAUCACAAAUUCGAAUAAAAUGUUCACAAAACAUAUCUGACCAAGGUCUUGUAUCCAGAAUACAUAAAGCUUACAACUCAAUAUAAAAACAACCCAAUUAAAAAUGGGCAAAAUAUUAAACAGAUAUCCUACAGAAGACAAUAUACCAAUAGCCAAUGAGCAAGUGUUAACAUGUUCAACUUGGUUAGACAUCAGACAAGUGCAAAUUAAAACCAAUGAGAACAGCUUUGCUCUUCCUCUAGGAUCCUUGGAAUGAUAUUCCUCCUUUCCUUAUAUGUUUGUAUUAUGCUAGAAUAAAUCUUAUUUUGGAUUUUUAAAAUUUGCUGUUUUGAAUGAGGAGUAACCUCGCCCUGAUCUUCUCAACAGACAGGUAUAUAAACUGUCUUUGGCCCUAUUCUUUGCCUGUUUGGGUGCUGUUCUAAUUCCUUUUCAGAUGUAUACCUAGAUGGGUCAUGUGUACAACUCGUAAUUAAAUUCCCAGUGUUUACUUGUUUUUUUCCUAGCAUGGAUUAUCUAAGAUAUGAUUUUCUCAAGCCUGGUUUUCUCACAUUCUAAAAAAACCCUGAAAGCAUGAAUGUUAUAAACCCUUAGCAUAAACUGCUAAUAACCCUCUUGUUCCGGUUUCCCCUCAUAGAACUUUACUUAAGGAAAUGACACCUUCCAGGACUCAUGUUGCUUCUGAUAGUCUUCCACCUGGUUCAUAUAUAAUUAUUUUGGGGAGUUAACAAUCUUUAGGUGUAGAGUGAAGUACUAGUGGAUAGGACAGAAACUGUGAUUGCCUUAAAAAUCAGUCUUACAAAGAAGAGUGAAAUUGCCAUUUUCUCCUUUGGAAAGAUCUUGUGGCCUGGCGU